CCAUCUGCGCUGAUGCAGGGUUUGGAAGUGGAGUUCCUGGAGAGUGAACCUGGCAGUGAGUGCAGAUUUCCCUGAAAGCUGAGGCUGUUUCUUUAUUCCCUAGGAGACUGAGAAGAGAGGGGACCCUGGAUGCCAGCCCGAUCUCCUCCGUUUUUUUUGUUUGUUUUGACUUUGAGGCAGAUUUCCUCUUUCAGCUCUGGGAAUUGACAGGUACAACCCCUGUAGGCACCUGUGCACGGCUCACAAACAAGACCAAGACCAUGAAGCUGAUAUGUCAGUUCACCGGUGAGUGGCUAAAGUUUCCUCCAAUCAUUCAUUGAAGCUUCAUGUUUCCAGGCCCUGACGCCACACAGUACCUCAGUCCAUCAGCUUCUUUCCAAGAUGGUAACUACCUUCUGCUCCAAACCUCUGCCACAGGAGAACUUUUGAUAACCUAAAAAAGUAAACUGCAUCCUGUAGAUUUCCUCUUAAAACUUCUGCUUUACAGAAGAGAAGAUCAACUUGUUGGAGGUGCAUCAAUGACAUCAAACUCACUUCUGUUUUGCCUGACCACUCUCUCCAUCCUCUGUCAGUAUAAAAUUAUAAUGAUUUAAAGAAUUGAAGGAGCUGUAUUAAUGUUUGUGUGAACCACUUUUCCUGCACAUACUCUGUUCUUCUUUUCUCCAUCCAUUUGGUGUCUGGUUCGUCUUGGCUGCUUUUAAAAAUUCUGUUGCCUCUAGUAAGGGACUGCCAGAUUAAAAUAGUGAAGAGAAACCAGGUGACUGUCUACUUUUACGAAUACAGGUUGUGUAUAAUAAAUUCAGGUUUUACAUCUAUGCAAAUUAAAUCAUCAUAUGAUUCUGACUACAUGCAUUUUUUAUCAAAUAUGGCAUAUAUUUCACAAAUUAUAUUUAACUUAUAGUCAUGUUGCUAAUCUGAAUACCUAACUAGGAGUUACAAGGUGUGCCACUAGAUCUUAGCAAAUAGGCUUACGAAAACAGAAGAAAUAAGAUAAAAUCACCUUUUUUUUCUUGCAUUCCUGGUAAGGCCAGUGGAAAGGCUUUUCCUGAUAUAGGUGAUAACAUAAACACCUCAGCACUGAGCUGUUUAGAGACACAAGUACAUCUUGCCAUUAUAAAUGUAGAGAUUUUGUAAAGGCCUAAAGAGAACAUGUCCAGAAUAAGGAAGUUUUAAAGCAAUGUGUCUUUGGUCUGGAGUUUACCACAUCUAGUUAGUAACACCUUCUGCUAAUGGUUCUGUCAUGGAGUGGAAAACAUUAGUCACAACGUCAAAAUAAACAUUUUACUUCUGCAAAAUUAUAUUUUCACCUCAGGAAUAUUGUGAAGUGAAAAUAGGAUUUAUGCACAAUUCUUCCUUGGGGGUUUAUGCCCGGACAGGGCAGUUUUAGUGUAAAGGCCUAAGCCGUGGAAUACGGUUCCCAGCCAUAGGUGCACCAUAUUUUGAAUAAUCAAUCUGUCAGCUGAGCUAUAACAAGGAGUAUGCUGUGAAGGUAACAACUCAAUCCUUUCAAUGUUAACUGUCCUCAGCAAUUGCUGCUGUUUCUUUCAUAAAUAAAAAGACAUUUUGGUGAGCA